AUGGAGUCACAGACCCAAGUUCUCAUGUCCCUGCUGCUCUGGGUGUCUGGUAUCUGUGGGGACAUCUUGAUGACCCAGUCUCCAUCCUCCCUGGCUGUGUCAGUAGGAGAGAAGGUCACCAUCAACUGCAAGUCCAGCCAGAGUCUGUUUGGCAGCAAUAGCAAGAAGAACCACUUAGACUGGCUCCAGAAGAAACCAGGACAGGCUCCUAAACGUCUGAUCUACUGGGCAUCCACUCGGUACACUGGGGUCCCUGAUCGCUUCACAGGCAGUGGGUCUGGGACAGAUUACACUCUCACCAUCAGCAGUGUCCAGGCUGAAGACCUGGCAGAUUACUACUGUCUUCAGGAUCAUACUUCUUCUCCCACAGUGCUUCAGCCUCCAACAAAAACCUCCUUUGAGCGUCUCACCAGCUGCCUGCACCACACACAGCCCUGGACCUGCACACUUCCCCCUUUUGCCGAGAACUGGUUUACCUGA